GGGAAGUAAGCAGACAGGUAUUCACAGGUCUCACCUUUCCGCCCCUUCCCUCUUUCAUUGUGGAUUUCCUCACUGAAAAGAGGAACUUCACAUUAUUUUUGUAACGUUUCGCAAGGACGCCAGCUCGAUUUUUCAAGAAAAACAUUUUUUUUAGGGGGGGGACUCAACAGGUUGAAGUUCUUUUGCACGUGUGAGUACUUUCUUUUUCUCCUGCAAUUUCCAGCCUGCAAUGGGAACCUUCCCCCCGUGGUCCCAACCAAGGGGCAAUGACGACAGCGGGCCACCUUGCAGGGAGGUGGCGUGCCAUGGCCACGGCUAUUGCGAGAUCCCCCCCGGAAGUGGUACCGACUUUGCGUGCAUGUGUGACCUGGGCUACGAGGGAGAUUCCUGCGACGAGACGGUCAACGGGUCGCUGAGUCUCCCCCUGACCCUGGGCGUGGUGGGCUUCCUGGUCGGCAUAAUCAUUUUGGCUUUCGUCUUCGCCAAGUUGCGACAGAGACAAAAACAGAGGAAGAGGGACUUGCAGCAAAACUUGGCUAAAAAAGUCCUGUGUGAUGAGGCCCAAUCACCUUAACAGCAGAGGUCCUCCUCUGACUUUUUGACCAUCAUUCAACAUCUACCGAAUGCAAACUUUCAAGUUUUCAACAAUGGACGUUUUCUGCGCCUCUUCUAGCCCACUGAUUAUUACAUUUGCAGUGAAAUGACAAGUGUAUUUCCCUCAAUACUAACUCAAAGUAUGCACUACUGUUUUCAAAAGGAGAACAAAUGUCAUAUGGCCCAGCAACCUCCUGUCUAUGAAAACAUGAACUCUGUUGUGUUUGUGUUAGGCUUUGUUACCUGAAAGAAGUCUCACGGCCCAAACAUUCAAAGGGAGUGUAUUUGGUCCAACCCACUCAUUUCCUUUUGAAUGCUUUAAGGAUGUGAAAUUUCCAAUCUGUUUCCAUUUUUACUAAAAGGAAAAUAUAUUUAUUAUGAAUUUUCAACACUGUCAAAUGUCUAAUGUCAAAACAACUAGAUGUGAUUAUUUAGUUGAUGCUCCUGUAAUAUUUUAAUCAAGUAAUUUAAUUCAACUGGUCUUCAAAUACAUUGUGAAUAGUUUUUGUCAAUUUGUUGUACAACAAAUCUAAGUGUGGUGCAAAAACCUGGAAUGUUUCAAUGACCAGAGUGCUUCCGUUUAUAGUAUUGUUUUUAUUCUCAUUUACUGAGUUCGCACAUGUAGAGUGAAACUUUAAACUACCUAGCACCUUGGUACAAUUUCAAAUGUUAAUUUCUUGGUUUCCUGAGAUUAAUUUUCAGAAGUUUGUUAGUGUCCUUUUUUUCAUACCAAGCAAUCCUAUUCCAGAAGUUACUGUUUAAAACUACUUUCUAAACAAGUUCUUUUGCACUUAUAUUCUGUUAUUUAAAUAAAACCUGCUCCU